rnacentral:rRNA from 1 species
UGGGGAAUAUUGCACAAUGGGGGAAACCCUGAUGCAGCGACGCCGCGUGAGCGAAGAAGUAUUUCGGUAUGUAAAGCUCUAUCAGCAGGGAAGAAGAAAUGACGGUACCUGACUAAGAAGCACCGGCUAAAUACGUGCCAGCAGCCGCGGUAAUACGUAUGGUGCAAGCGUUAUCCGGAUUUACUGGGUGUAAAGGGGGCGCAGGCGGCGCGGCAAGUCUGACGUGAAAGCCCGGGGCUCAACCCCGGUACUGCAUUGGAAACUGUCGUGCUAGAGUGUCGGAGGGGUAAGCGGAAUUCCUAGUGUAGCGGUGAAAUGCGUAGAUAUUAGGAGGAACACCAGUGGCGAAGGCGGCUUUCUGGACUGUAACUGACACUGAGGCACGAAAGCGUGGGGAGCAAACAGG